AACAUCGCGCACCUGCGGGAACCUGCGGAAGGAUCAUUACUGAGUCACGUGCUCAAACAACCCUUCUGUGGACCUGAAAUAAAACCGUUGCCUCGGCGGGCGGUCCCCCCCAAACCAACCCCACGUGGUGGGUUAGGGGAGACCAGACAGUCCGGUACGCUUAAGGCGUCCGGCGCCAGCCGCUGGCCCCAAACAAUUAAACUCUAGUAAUCUCUACCUUCUGAGUUUCAAUAUUUAAAA
rnacentral:misc_RNA from 1 species